CCUACGGGAGGCAGCAGUGAGGAAUAUUGGUCAAUGGACGAGAGUCUGAACCAGCCAAGUAGCGUGAAGGAUGACGGCCCUCUGGGUUGUAAACUUCUUUUAUAUGGGAAUAAAAUGUUCCACGUGUGGGAUUUUGUAUGUACCAUAUGAAUAAGGAUCGGCUAACUCCGUGCCAGCAGCCGCGGUAAUACGGAGGAUCCGAGCGUUAUCCGGAUUUAUUGGGUUUAAAGGGAGCGUAGGUGGAGUGUUAAGUCAGGCGUGAAAGCUCGGGGCUCAACCGCAAGACUGCAGUUGAAACUGGGAGUCUUGAGUACAGGAGAGGUAGGCGGAAUUCGUGGUGUAGCGGUGAAAUGCUUAGAUAUCACGAAGAACUCCGAUUGCGAAGGCAGCUCGCUGGACUGCAACUGACACUGAGGCUCGAAAGUGUGGGUAUCAAACAGGAUUAGAUACCCGAGUAGUC
rnacentral:rRNA from 1 species